UUCCGUAGGUGAACCUGCGGAAGGAUCAUUAAUGAAACUUCAAAGUCGGCUCGUCUAUCUGUGCUGGUGGAGGCACAUGUGCACGUUGGCGAGUCGCAAAUCCACACACCUGUGCAUCUAUGACUCUGAGUACCGCUUUGCAUGGCCCUCUGGGGCCUGGUACUCGAGUACUUUACACACUCAGAAUGUAAUGGAAUGUCUUUUUGUACAAUGUACAUCUAAAAACAACUUUCAACAACGGAUCUCUUGGCUCUCGCAUCGAUGAAGAACGCAGCGAAAUGCGAUAAGUAAUGUGAAUUGCAGAAUUCAGUGAAUCAUCGAAUCUUUGAACGCACCUUGCACCCUUUGGUAUUCCGAAGGGUACACCCGUUUGAGUGUCAUUGUAAUCUCACUACGACCACUUUAUUGUUGGUUUGUAUGUGGACUUGGAUGUUGCCGUGUAACAAACGGCUCGUCUGAAAUGCCUGAGUGUACCCUGCUUUUGCGGCGUAUUCGGUGUGAUAAAUCUUCACCGGAGUUGACUUUCGGGUCGCGCUUGUAUUGUCGGGCUCUAUGCUUCCAACCGUCCAAACAAGACAAUCUUUGACAAUUUGACCUCAAAUCGGGUGGGACUACCCGCUGAACUUAAGCAUAUCAAUAAGCGGAGGAAAAGAAACUAGCAAGGAUUCCCCUAGUAACGGCGAGUGAAGAGGGAAAAGCUCAAAUUUUGAAUCUGGUGUCUUUGACUCCCGAGUUGUAAUCUAGAGAAGUGUUUUCCGCGUUGGACCGUGUACAAGUUCCCUGGAACGGGGCGUCAUAGAGGGUGAGAAUCCCGUAUAUGCCACGGACUGCCAAUGCUCUGUGAUACACUCUCAACGAGUCGAGUUGUUUGGGAAUGCAGCUCAAAAUGGGUGGUAAAUUCCAUCUAAAGCUAAAUAUUGGCGAGAGACCGAUAGCGAACAAGUACCGUGAGGGAAAGAUGAAAAGCACUUUGGAAAGAGAGUGAAACAGUACGUGAAAUUGUUGAAAGGGAAGCGUUUGAAGUCAGUCACGUCUGUCGGAAUUCAGCCUGGCUUCUGCCUGGUGUACUUUCCGUCCGACGGGUCAGCAUCAAUUUCGACCGAGGGAAAAAGACGUGAGGAAUGUGGCUGUCUUCGGGCAGUGUUAUAGACUCGCGUUGUAUGUCUCGGUUGGGAUUGAGGAACGCAGCGCGCCUAUUGGCCGGGGGUUCGCGCCCCUCGGUACGCGCUUAGGAUGCUGGCAUAAUGGCUUUAAGCGACCCGUCUUG
rnacentral:rRNA from 1 species